CAAGUACUCCCUCCGUUCGGAAUUACUUGUCUUGAAAAUGGAUGUAUCUAGAACUAAAAUACAUCUAGAUACAUCCAUUUUCGUGACAAGUAAUUCCGAACGGAGUGAGUAGGUC
rnacentral:pre_miRNA from 1 species